ensembl:lncRNA
AAAUCGCCUUUUCAGAAAUCCUCUUACAGUACAAGUGCUUUCUGUGGCUGCUAGGAAAGAUAGAAAAACCUCUUUAAACCCUUUUUUGUCUUUUGUGCUUUAUUUUUUACAAGACACUUGAUGUCAUCCAGCGUUAAAUGCAGUAAGAAAUCUCAGGUGGAAUUGCUGCGCUGGCUUCUCUCACUGGGUCCGCCUCUGGGCAGCAUUUCCCUAUAGUUCCCUCCUUCAUACACCUGCUUCACAUUUGCGAUCGAGUGCUGGGUAUAUCUGGCUGGUGGAUUCACCAGUUCUUUGCAGUUACCUGUCUGAGCUGUUGUGGAAACUUUGGCUCUUUGGAAAUACAAACCUCCUCCAUGACUCCAUUCACCUAGAAAACAAGUAAGGCUGACACAGUUUUCACCUCUGUCAACAGUGUCCCACUACUGGACUGCUUUUAGCUCCCUAUUUAAAGGCAGUGCUCACUAAUGAACUGCAGAACCUCCCGACCAUCUAUCCACUACUUCUUCAUUCAGUCGUUGUCAAUAAAAUAAAUCUUAAACUUCCCAGCUGUUCUUUGAGUCUGCUCUCUGGGUCUACAAUUAGCCACAUUAUUACAGGAAGCAGUCAUCUAUAAAACUGAAUAAAUCUCAUUCAAC